UACGUAGGGUGCAAGCGUUAAUCGGAAUUACUGGGCGUAAAGCGUGCGCAGGCGGUUGGGUAAGACAGAUGUGAAAUCCCCGGGCUCAACCUGAGAACUGCAUUUGUGACUGCACAGCUGGAGUGCGGCAGAGGGGGAUGGAAUUCCGCGUGUAGCAGUGAAAUGCGUAGAUAUGCGGAGGAACACCGAUGGCGAAGGCAAUCCCCUGGGCCUGCACUGACGCUCAUGCACGAAAGCGUGGGGAGCAAACAGG
rnacentral:rRNA from 1 species